rnacentral:rRNA from 1 species
CCUACGGGAGGCAGCAGUGAGGAAUAUUGGUCAAUGGGCGUAAGCCUGAACCAGCCAAGUCGCGUGAGGGAUGAAGGUUCUAUGGAUCGUAAACCUCUUUUAUAAGGGAAUAAAGUGCGGGACGUGUCCCGUUUUGUAUGUACCUUAUGAAUAAGGAUCGGCUAACUCCGUUCCAGCCGCCGCGGUAAUACGGAGGAUCCGAGCGUUAUCCGGAUUUAUUGGGUUUAAGGGGUGCGUAGGCGGCCUUUUAAGUCAGCGGUGAAAGUCUGUGGCUCAACCAUAGAAUUGCCGUUGAAACUGGGAGUCUUGAGUAUGUUUGAGGCAGGCGGAAUGCGUGGUGUAGCGGUGAAAUGCUUAGAUAUCACGAAGAACCCCGAUUGCGAAGGCAGCCUGCCAAGCCAUGACUGACGCUGAUGCACGAAAGCGUGGGGAUCAAACAGGAUUAGAUACCCCAGUAGUC